UAGGGAAUAUUGGACAAUGGGGGCAACCCUGAUCCAGCCAUGCCGCGUGAGUGAAGAAGGCCCUCGGGUUGUAAAGCUCUUUUGUCCGGAAAGAAAAGCAUUCGGUGAAUACCCUGAUGUUCUGACGGUACCGGAAGAAUAAGCACCGGCUAACUUCGUGCCAGCAGCCGCGGUAAUACGAAGGGUGCAAGCGUUACUCGGAAUUACUGGGCGUAAAGCGUGCGUAGGUGGUUGUUUAAGUCUGAUGUGAAAGCCCUGGGCUCAACCUGGGAAUGGCAUUGGAAACUGGGCAGCUAGAGUGCGGUAGAGGGUAGUGGAAUUCCCGGUGUAGCAGUGAAAUGCGUAGAGAUCGGGAGGAACAUCUGUGGCGAAGGCGACUGCCUGGACCAGCACUGACACUGAGGCACGAAAGCGUGGGGAGCAAACA
rnacentral:rRNA from 1 species